rnacentral:rRNA from 1 species
UACGUAGGGUGCAAGCGUUGUCCGGAAUUAUUGGGCGUAAAGAGCUCGUAGGCGGUUUGUCGCGUCUGCUGUGAAAACUCAGGGCUUAACCCUGAGCCUGCAGUGGGUACGGGCAGACUAGAGUGUGGUAGGGGAGAUCGGAAUUCCUGGUGUAGCGGUGGAAUGCGUAGAUAUCGGGAGGAACACCUGUGGCGAAAGCGGCGCACUGGACCAUAACUGACGCUGAGGCGCGAAAGCUAGGGGAGCAAACAGG